GUUCCGUAGGUGAACCUGCGGAAGGAUCAUUAUUGAAUAAUCGAGGAGCGAGGUCUGUCGCUGACCCGACAGGCCCUUCAGGAACGAGUGCCCUCACACAUAUCUUUCUCACCCUUAUCUCCACCACUGAGUGGUUCCUCCAUUGGUUUGUUGGGAGGGGUGCUUACUAAUUCAAAUAAACAUAGAACGUAGAGUAACGGGUAUCUUUUCUUUUUGCGAGCUCGCAAACAAAACAACUUGCAACAACGCAUCUCUUAACUCCAGUAUCGAUGAAGAACC
rnacentral:misc_RNA from 1 species